rnacentral:rRNA from 1 species
GUGAGGAAUAUUGGUCAAUGGACGAGAGUCUGAACCAGCCAAGUAGCGUGAAGGAUGAAGGUUCUAUGGAUUGUAAACUUCUUUUAUACGGGAAUAAACGAAUCCACGUGUGGAUUUUUGCAUGUACCGUAUGAAUAAGGAUCGGCUAACUCCGUGCCAGCAGCCGCGGUAAUACGGAGGAUCCGAGCGUUAUCCGGAUUUAUUGGGUUUAAAGGGAGCGUAGAUGGGUUGUUAAGUCAGUUGUGAAAGUUUGCGGCUCAACCGUAAAAUUGCAAUUGAUACUGGCAGUCUUGAGUACAGUUGAGGUAGGCGGAAUUCGUGGUGUAGCGGUGAAAUGCUUAGAUAUCACGAAGAACUCCGAUUGCGAAGGCAGCUUACUAACCUGUAACUGACAUUGAUGCUCGAAAGUGUGGGUAUCAAACAGG